rnacentral:rRNA from 1 species
UUAAGCGACUAAGCGUACACGGUGGAUGCCCUGGCAGUCAGAGGCGAUGAAGGACGUGCUAAUCUGCGAAAAGCGUCGGUAAGGUGAUAUGAACCGUUACAGCCGGCGAUGUCCGAAUGGGGAAACCCAGUGCAAUUCGUUGCACUAUCGUUAACUGAAUACAUAGGUUAACGAGGCGAACCGGGGGAACUGAAACAUCUAAGUACCCCGAGGAAAAGAAAUCAACCGAGAUUCCCCCAGUAGCGGCGAGCGAACGGGGAGCAGCCCAGAGUCUGAAUCAGCUUGUGUGUUAGUGGAACGGUCUGGAAAGUCCGACGGUACAGGGUGAUAGUCCCGUACACCAAAAUGCACAGGCUGUGAACUCGAAGAGUAGGGCGGGACACGUGGUAUCCUGUCUGAAUAUGGGGGGACCAUCCUCCAAGGCUAAAUACUCCUGACUGACCGAUAGUGAACCAGUACCGUGAGGGAAAGGCGAAAAGAACCCCGGCGAGGGGAGUGAAAAAGAACCUGAAACCGUGUACGUACAAGCAGUGGGAGCACCUUCGGGUGUGACUGCGUACCUUUUGUAUAAUGGGUCAGCGACUUAUAUUCUGUAGCAAGGUUAACCGUAUAGGGGAGCCGCAGGGAAACCGAGUCUUAACUGGGCGUUAAGUUGCAGGGUAUAGACCCGAAACCCGGUGAUCUAGCCAUGGGCAGGUUGAAGGUUGGGUAACACUAACUGGAGGACCGAACCGACUAAUGUUGAAAAAUUAGCGGAUGACUUGUGGCUGGGGGUGAAAGGCCAAUCAAACCGGGAGAUAGCUGGUUCUCCCCGAAAGCUAUUUAGGUAGCGCCUCGUGAACUCAUCUUCGGGGGUAGAGCACUGUUUCGGCUAGGGGGUCAUCCCGACUUACCAACCCGAUGCAAACUACGAAUACCGAAGAAUGUUAUCACGGGAGACACACGGCGGGUGCUAACGUCCGUCGUGAAGAGGGAAACAACCCAGACCGCCAGCUAAGGUCCCAAAGUCAUGGUUAAGUGGGAAACGAUGUGGGAAGGCACAGACAGCCAGGAUGUUGGCUUAGAAGCAGCCAUCAUUUAAAGAAAGCGUAAUAGCUCACUGGUCGAGUCGGCCUGCGCGGAAGAUGUAACGGGGCUAAACCAUGCACCGAAGCUGCGGCAGCGACACUAUGUGUUGUUGGGUAGGGGAGCGUUCUGUAAGCCUGCGAAGGUGUGCUGUGAGGCAUGCUGGAGGUAUCAGAAGUGCGAAUGCUGACAUAAGUAACGAUAAAGCGGGUGAAAAGCCCGCUCGCCGGAAGACCAAGGGUUCCUGUCCAACGUUAAUCGGGGCAGGGUGAGUCGACCCCUAAGGCGAGGCCGAAAGGCGUAGUCGAUGGGAAACAGGUUAAUAUUCCUGUACUUGGUGUUACUGCGAAGGGGGGACGGAGAAGGCUAUGUUAGCCGGGCGACGGUUGUCCCGGUUUAAGCAUGUAGGCUGGUUGUCCAGGCAAAUCCGGAUAAUCAAGGCUGAGGUGUGAUGACGAGGCACUACGGUGCUGAAGUAACAAAUGCCCUGCUUCCAGGAAAAGCCUCUAAGCAUCAGGUAACAUCAAAUCGUACCCCAAACCGACACAGGUGGUCAGGUAGAGAAUACCAAGGCGCUUGAGAGAACUCGGGUGAAGGAACUAGGCAAAAUGGUGCCGUAACUUCGGGAGAAGGCACGCUGGUGUGUAGGUGAAGUCCCUGCGGAUGGAGCUGAGACCAGUCGAAGAUACCAGCUGGCUGCAACUGUUUAUUAAAAACACAGCACUGUGCAAACACGAAAGUGGACGUAUACGGUGUGACGCCUGCCCGGUGCCGGAAGGUUAAUUGAUGGGGUUAUCCGUAAGGAGAAGCUCUUGAUCGAAGCCCCGGUAAACGGCGGCCGUAACUAUAACGGUCCUAAGGUAGCGAAAUUCCUUGUCGGGUAAGUUCCGACCUGCACGAAUGGCGUAAUGAUGGCCAGGCUGUCUCCACCCGAGACUCAGUGAAAUUGAACUCGCUGUGAAGAUGCAGUGUACCCGCGGCAAGACGGAAAGACCCCGUGAACCUUUACUAUAGCUUGACACUGAACAUUGAGCCUUGAUGUGUAGGAUAGGUGGGAGGCUUUGAAGCGUGGACGCCAGUCUGCGUGGAGCCAACCUUGAAAUACCACCCUUUAAUGUUUGAUGUUCUAACGUUGGCCCCUUAUCGGGGUUGCGGACAGUGUCUGGUGGGUAGUUUGACUGGGGCGGUCUCCUCCCAAAGCGUAACGGAGGAGCACGAAGGUUAGCUAAUCCUGGUCGGACAUCAGGAGGUUAGUGCAAUGGCAUAAGCUAGCUUGACUGCGAGCGUGACGGCGCGAGCAGGUGCGAAAGCAGGUCAUAGUGAUCCGGUGGUUCUGAAUGGAAGGGCCAUCGCUCAACGGAUAAAAGGUACUCCGGGGAUAACAGGCUGAUACCGCCCAAGAGUUCAUAUCGACGGCGGUGUUUGGCACCUCGAUGUCGGCUCAUCACAUCCUGGGGCUGAAGUAGGUCCCAAGGGUAUGGCUGUUCGCCAUUUAAAGUGGUACGCGAGCUGGGUUUAGAACGUCGUGAGACAGUUCGGUCCCUAUCUGCCGUGGGCGCUGGAGAAUUGAGGGGGGCUGCUCCUAGUACGAGAGGACCGGAGUGGACGCAUCACUGGUGUUCGGGUUGUCAUGCCAAUGGCACUGCCCGGUAGCUAAAUGCGGAAGAGAUAAGUGCUGAAAGCAUCUAAGCACGAAACUUGCCCCGAGAUGAGUUCUCCCUGAGACUUUAAGUCUCCUGAAGGAACGUUGAAGACGACGACGUUGAUAGGCCGGGUGUGUAAGCGCAGCGAUGCGUUGAGCUAACCGGUACUAAUGAACCGUGAGGCUUAACCUU